AUGGAGUGGUUUGUUUUGUCUCGCUUUGACAGUGUGACUGUUCCAGAGAAACUGGAUUGUUUUAUAACCAGAUAUGCAGAGCACAUCCAUGAGAAGUGGUGUAUAGAAAAGUUUUCCAAUGGCUGGUCAUAUGGAGACCAGAUGUGUGAAAUCAGCAAGAACCAUCCACUCCUGAAACCAUACAAAAGCCUGUCUGAAAAGGAUAAAGAGACGUACUGCUGGCCCAUCAGAGAGUCUCUGAAGACCAUGCUUUCAUGGGGUUGGAGCAUUGACAGGAUCAGAGAGGGAGACUCUGUCA